GUAGAAGAAAAAUGAAUAACAUUUAAAUAAGAUAAAAUUUUAAAAUAAUAAAUUCUAAAAUUCAAAUAAAAAGGCAAAGCAAACACACUGGAAACUACCGCUAACAUUGUUCUCGGAGCAAAAGACACAAAAAGAGAAUUUAAAAAUAAGCAAAAAUUAGAGAGAACCAACCCUACAAGGAAGAAAUAACAAGUAUUGCUAAAUGAAGCAAUUCUAUGAUUAGGAUAUCCCUGUUAGAUCUAAACCGGUACAUGUUACACCUAAGUCUACAUUUCUUAAGACAAAACCAAAAACAAACAACAACAACAACAACAAACCAACAAAACUCAGUCACGGUUAAACCUGUAUACAACUAAAAAAUCUUAGUAGCUGAUACAUCCAGACUUGGUCCACAAGAGGAAAAAGUCGCAUUCGGCGGAAAUUGCUAUUGUCAAACCGAGCUUCCUAAACCAGAAAUCGCGUUUGCCGGCAUUUCCUGACUUCCAUGGGAGUUUAAAAAACACCAACAUAGCUAAGGCGGGACUUGAUAUUGCGAAGUUAGUCUUGGUGUAAGAGCUCCCACGCACUGCUAAACUGGUCAUCGCUAAACCUAAAUGAAUCUCAUUCGCUGGUACACAGAUUUCUACAGGAGUUAAACAUCUCCUGCGCAGCUAAAGCAAGGCUUACUGUAGGAAGCCGGAACUUGCCACGACUUAGAAACUUGAGGCUUUGGGAGGGCGAGGCGGGUGGAUCAUCUGAGGUCGGGAGUUUGAGACCAGCCUGGCCAACGUGGCAAAACCCCGUCUCUACUAAAAAUACAAAAAUUAGCCGGGUGUGAUGGCGGGCGCCUAUAAUCCCAGCUAUUUGGGAGGCCGAGGCAGGAGAAUCACUUGAACCCGGGGGGUGGAGGUUGCAGUGAGCCGAGAUCGCCGAGAUCGUGCCACGGCAUUCUAGCCUGGGCGAAAGAGCGAAACUCUGUCUCAAAAAAAAAAAAAAAAGAAAAAAGAAAAAAAAGAAAGAAAAAAAAGAAAAAAGAAACUUGAGGCAGGGCUAACUCCGGGUUUGUUAUGAUUAGAAAUCCGAGGCUACAGGAAACCCGGAGUUGCUGGGAAAUGAGUCACAGGGUCACUCAGCCUUUCUGUGGCGAAACGUCAACUUCCUACGACCUGGAAAUCGCCGCCAGGCCUAGACUGGUGUUUGUCCUAAGUGGGGACUUGCUUGGGUUGAGAAAUCACAUUUUGGCUAUUCCCCGGCUUGAACCAGGGGGUAGAAAUCGUAGUUACCGGCUGGCGCAGCGGCUCGUGCUGUAAUCCCGGCAGUUUGGGAGGCCGAGGCGGGCAGAUUAUUGAGGUUAGGAGUUCGAGACCAGCCUGGUCAAUAUGGUGAAACCCCGCCUCUAGUAAAAAUACAAAAAUUAUCCGCGCGUGGUGGCUCGCGCCUGUAAUCCCAGCUACUCUGGAGGCUGAGACGGGAGAAUCGCUUGAACCUGCGGGGCAGAGGUUGCAGUGAGCCAAGAUCGCGCCACUGCCAUCCAGCCUGGGCGACACAGCGAGACUCCGUCUCAAAACAAAACAAAAGGAAAAGAAGAGAAAAGAAAAGGAAACGCAGGCACCCUAAAAUCGAAACUUGUUAGGACCAACAAGCCAACGACAGAUGAAUCCGCGGGGUCCUGCGACAGACACGCCAGCGGCGCCGCCACAGCACAGGGUUCUGGAGGCCGAGCUGUUCUGCGGGUUCUGCGGCGGGGCUGGCGGCGCUGGGAAGAGACGGCGCCCGGGCAGCUCCCCUGCCACCGGCUCGGAGGAGGGGCGGGCUCCCCCAGCCCAGCGCCGCCGCGGCCGCCCGGGGAACGCCAGGCUCAGCGCAGCUGGGGAGGCUCCGAAUCCCUCAGAUCCGCGACCUGAGUGCUGUCGCCCCGAGAAAAUGGAGGCACCGGGCAGCGAGCUGCGCUGAGACCGAGAGACCUCAGUUCUGCGAAAUGUCGGUGCCCGGAGCUUGCGAAUGACUGCAGCCGGCGGGUUGUCAGGGACAACAUUCCUUAUGGCGCAACCAACGGCGCUGACGCGAAGAAACGGUGGACUCUGAGAAAAAAGAGGGGUUCGGCCACCGAGAAACUCCGUGCCACAUGUGCUGUGACAGCAAAACCGCCCGCUCCGCGCCGCUGGCGAAAGAGUCAACGAACGCCGGGUGCUGAGACCGUGACACCGGGACUAGAAGGCCUCGGACGGAUAAUGGGACGCCCAGAGCAAGCAGGAAAACGUUUUGUUUGGCUCAACUAGUGCUGUCGCAACCGGAAAACUGUCAGGCCAGUGCUGCCGCGGAGGUGCAUGUGAGAAACCGGUGAUCCGAGGGAGGAGUGGCGCUGGGCGCUGGACUCGCUGGUGUGCGAAUCUGGCUGCGCUAGGACCCGGCAAGCGCGGGCACCAGGCGAACGCCAGCGACUUUGCCAGACAAAUGCAUGUCUUUUUUGGUCGCCAUUCAAAGGUGCAGCCGGCAGUCAGACCCGGCUCUGAGAAACAAGUGGAGGUGUCAGCCAUAAACCCUCUGUUCAGGGAAAGGAGCGUCGCCGCGACGAAUCGUCUGGCCGUUGGGUGGAACUUUCUUUGGUGGCCUAGUGACCAGAAAAUAAAAACGAAAACGAAAUAAAAAACUGCUACUGGCGUUACUCCCACGCUCCCUUCUCAAGUCGGUGGCUUCAGGCUUAAGAAAACCUGUAUUUUUCUUGGCUGAACCGUGAUCCCUAAUUACUGAGGGCCCCGCGACCGACCCAGUGCGAUUCGCAGAGGGAAAGGAGCCGGAAUAAGGAUCCAGAAUGGGACGGAUUUGGCUCCUCCAGGAAGAAAGCAAAACAAAUGCAGGUCGCGAACACUUUACAAUGCAGGAAGCUGCUCUUCCAGUGGCCGCGGCUGGGUCCUUCCACACCACCUCUCUGUCCUAGGCCUUCGUCCCGGUUCAGCCCUCACGGAUUCUAGGCUAGAGGUCAACAACCGCAUCCCUUCGGAACCUGGAAACUCUAGGUCCAAGAUCUCGGUGAAGAAUGAAAGGCACAGUGCCGCUCAACCUAGGCUUCAGGCCUGCCCCGCUGGUCCCGUCCCUUCCCUGUGGGAUGGAACUCUGUGGGAAUCGCUCCUUAUUCUGAUGGUUCACUCAUUCAGAUAUCCUUGAUAUUUGGGGAUAGUUCUAAAACAGCUGGGGAGAAAAAUGGACUGCGAGACUCCGGCUUUGGACGUGAAAUUGACAGCGAGACAUCCGCCUCUAAGCCCAGGGAAAAGCUCAAAUUGUGGUUCUCUGUCUCUAGCACCGUGAUCUUUGAAAUGCAUUAUUGAUUUUUUUCUUUCUUCUGGGAAAUGCAAUGCAGGUGAACUUGUAAGUGUCGAAUCCUCCCUCUCCUCACUUUUCAAUCAGACUGAGGCCUACUUCCUUUCUGAGAAGAAAUAUGGGACUGCCACUGCUCAGUAGGAAAAUGUCCUUUCCUACAAGCAUUCAUAUUUCAAUAAAAAUCUGCACUUUGUGAGUUGAGCCCCCUCAAACAGACCUACAGACCCUGCCACGAGCAUCUCCAUCCACACUCAUCAUUUCCCAUUUUCACCACUUCUGCUCCUGUGCAAACCACUACUAUCCUUUUCUGGGGGAUCCUAGGCAGAAGGGGAUGGCAGGACAAAGGCAGAGAAGGCACUGCCAGGUCCUGCAUGCCAGUAAAACUACUCAUGCCAGCUGUUCCGCAGGAUCCCAUGAGAAGCUACAACAUGGCGAUCAGCAAGACAGGAAGACAGCCCUCACCAGGAGCUGAAUCACUGGCGCAUUGAUCUUGCACUUCCAGAUCCUGGGCAAGACUCACCAGGGGAGACUUCUGUAGCUGUCCGGAAUUGUCUGAUCUGGAAUUAAUUCCCUGGAACGCUGUGGUUGUUAACUCGGAAGGCACAAGGCUAAGAAUCUUCCUCUGGUCCUCUUUAAUCUGCCCCCACUCCUUGUUAUUUGUCUUAUUUUGAUUUUCAAGUAAGGGAUUUAUUUUUCCAGUUAACAUAACCAACCAGCCCAUGCCACAGCAUAUUAAAUCACGAAGUACAAAUCCAAGGAAGGUAAUGUCUUUAUUGGGUUGCAAAACUUUGGGAAACCAAUAUAGUACUUUUUAUUACAAUAAAAGCAUACUUUUAUUAGAGACAUAUAUUAUUUUAGUGAUAAUUUUCGCUCCAAAUAUACUUAAGUACUAAACCAAAACACUGGUUUUUAAUAAUGGUUUAUAGCAGAGCAAGUUAUUUUAUACGAAUUAAGGUCUUUGAAAACUACAUAGUUUCUCCUUUUAAAUUGAAUUCCCUCAUGCAAGCUGUUGAAGUUUACAGCAACACGGCAAUUGUGUGUAUAUAAGAGAUGGCUCUGCUUUGUUCUGGCAUGGGACCAAAGCCAGGUAGGGGUGCAAUGUGUGAAAACUUUUAAAAUUCUAUCUUGAUUCAACAUCAAUGUCACCUUCCAAGCACUUUAAAAAAUGUUAAAAUUUUGUUUAUA